UAGGGAAUAUUGGACAAUGGGUGAGAGCCUGAUCCAGCCAUGCCGCGUGCAGGAAGAAGGCGUUAUGCGUUGUAAACUGCUUUUUGCCAGGGGAUAAAAUGACCGUGCGCGGUUAAUUGAAGGUACCUGGUGAAUAAGCCACGGCUAACUACGUGCCAGCAGCCGCGGUAAUACGUAGGUGGCAAGCGUUGUCCGGAUUUAUUGGGUUUAAAGGGUGCGUAGGUGGCCCUGUAAGUCAGUGGUGAAAUAUCUCAGCUUAACUGAGAGGGUGCCAUUGAUACUGCAGGGCUUGAGUACAGAUGAGGUAGGCGGAAUUGACGGUGUAGCGGUGAAAUGCAUACCGAUAUCGUCAAGAACACCGAUAGCGAAGGCAGCUUACCAAGCUGUAACUGACACUGAGGCACGAAAGUGUGGGGAUCAAACAGGAUUAGAUACCCCGGUAGUCCCUGAGCGGGCUGGCAAGGCGCAU
rnacentral:rRNA from 1 species